AUUGAACGCUGGCGGCAUGCCUUACACAUGCAAGUCGAACGGCAGCGGGCCUUCGGGUGCCGGCGAGUGGCGAACGGGUGAGUAAUGCAUCGGAACGUGCCAUUGAGUGGGGGGAUAACGUAGCGAAAGUUACGCUAAUACCGCAUAUUCUGUGAGCAGGAAAGCAGGGGACCGCAAGGCCUUGUGCUCUUUGAGCGGCCGAUGUCAGAUUAGCUAGUUGGUGAGGUAAAGGCUUACCAAGGCGACGAUCGUGUAAGGCGGGUCUGAGAGGAUGAUCCGCCACACUGGAACUGAGACACGGUCCAGACUCCUACGGGAGGCAGCAGUGGGGAAUUUUGGACAAUGGGCGCAAGCCUGAUCCAGCCAUGCCGCGUGAGUGAAGAAGGCCCUCGGGUUGUAAAGCUCUUUCGGCCGGGAAGAAAUCGCAUGGGUUAAUACCCUGUGUGGAUGACGGUACCGGAAUAAGAAGCACCGGCUAACUACGUGCCAGCAGCCGCG
rnacentral:rRNA from 1 species